rnacentral:rRNA from 1 species
AUGACCAAGCUCCUGUCAAAAUACCAUGUGUUGUUCAAGCUCAAGUUGAAUCUUCCCAAUCCAAUGUGUGCAGAACCAGUUGAAACUGAAGAUGCAGUGUUUGUUGAAGCUCAACCUGGGGAUGACCAAGUCGCCGCCCAAGAAUUCAGCAUUAAUGCAGAUGUAGAAGAUGUUGUUGCUGAUAGGGCCUACUGGGAUUUCACCCCACCAUCUUGCUCUCUUGGCCUAGAUUUUGGCCCCACACCGCCCGGACCAGAUAUUAUUACGAGGCCGCAGUCCCAGCUGCAGUACCAACACCGCCCCCAGCGGUUGUUUCGACAACUCAAGCACCAGCAGUGGUCCCAACGGUUAACAAUGCUCCCCAAGACCGAGCAGCAGCAUCCCCAAUUGAUCAUAUGGCGGCAGCACCACGAGAUUUAA